ACACUAUGACAUCAUGUGAAAGCACGUUAGAAUGGCUAAAUAGGACCAAGAAUGUAAUACCCCUAACCCAUUUUCGUCGUCGAAACAAUGUUUUAGAGCAUUACUAGAGUUUGCAGAACAUAUACAAUUAAUUUAUUUUAUUUACUAUUCAUAUUCGAAACCAAUCAUAUUUUCCCUUAAAUGAACCAUCGAGGUCCAAUUUACACAUUUGAAACAAGUCGGGAC
rnacentral:lncRNA from 1 species